UGCACAUAUGGUUCGGUUUGUCUCAAUGUUACACUGGAAGAAUCGAAGUCUUGUGGGUUUAGCAAGGGUGGUGUGGGUGAUGCCACAACCAGCCUUGCUUGCCUACACUGUUGCAUUGUUCUCAAGGUUUGGACUUGUUCCUGCCUUGAUUUCAUUGUAGCUCGGUUAUUACCUUUGGACUGAUGCUCAAGUAGGGGCUCAUGCAUCAGGUAGCCAAGGUCCAGUCCAAGUCCGGCCAGGGCAGGCGAAGGCUGCGUGCGUGUGUUCUCACCGUGCGUAGGCUUCACUCAGCUGCUGAGGGCUUUGGCUUGCCUUGGCACUUGAAGCAUGACCCUUGCAGCUGUGGCAUCCUAGUUGAUGUUGGCUGUGCAUUGCCUUUUGCUCCAUCUCUGGGUGCUAGGACCC
rnacentral:lncRNA from 1 species